CCUACGGGAGGCAGCAGUGAGGAAUAUUGGUCAAUGGGCGGAAGCCUGAACCAGCCAAGUAGCGUGCGGGAUGAAGGCCCUACGGGUCGUAAACCGCUUUUGCACGGGGAUAACACCCUCCACUUGUGGAGGUCUGCAGGUACCGUGCGAAUACGGGCCGGCUAAUUCCGUGCCAGCAGCCGCGGUAAUACGGAAGGCCCGAGCGUUAUCCGGAUUCAUUGGGCUUAAAGGGAGCGUAGGCGGGCGGUCAAGUCAGCGGUAAAAGCGCGCGGCUCAACCGCGCCCCGCAGUUGAAACUGGACGCCUUGAGUGCACAACAGGCAAGCGGAAUUCGUGGUGUAGCGGUGAAAUGCAUAGAUAUCAGGAGGAACCCCGAUGGCGAAGGCGGCCUGCCGGGGUGCGACUGACGCUGAGGCUCGAAGGUGCGGGGAUCAAACAGGAUUAGAUACCCCUGUAGUC
rnacentral:rRNA from 1 species